rnacentral:rRNA from 1 species
UCCGUAGGGCGCAAGCGUUGUCCGGAAUUAUUGGGCGUAAAGAGCUCGUAGGUGGCUUGUCACGUCGGGUGUGAAAGCUUGGGGCUUAACUCCAGGUCUGCAUUCGAUACGGGCUGGCUAGAGGUAGGUAGGGGAGAACGGAAUUCCUGGUGUAGCGGUGAAAUGCGCAGAUAUCAGGAGGAACACCGGUGGCGAAGGCGGUUCUCUGGGCCUUACCUGACGCUGAGGAGCGAAAGCGUGGGGAGCGAACAGG